rnacentral:rRNA from 1 species
UACAGAGGGUGCGAGCGUUGUCCGGAAUCACUGGGCGUAAAGGGCGCGUAGGUGGCCUGAUAAGUAGGGGGUGAAAUCUCGUGGCUCAACUGCGAGGCUGCCUCCUAAACUGUCGGGCUUGAGCAGAGUAGAGGCAGGUGGAAUUCCCGGUGUAGCGGUGGAAUGCGUAGAGAUCCGGAAGAACACCGGUGGCGAAGGCGGCCUGCUGGGCAGUUUUGCUGACACUGAGGCGCGACAGCGUGGGGAGCAAACAGG